GAUGAACGCUGGCGGCGUGCCUAAUACAUGCAAGUCGAGCGAACAGACGAGGAGCUUGCUCCUCUGACGUUAGCGGCUGACGGGUGAGUAACACGUGGAUAACCUACCUAUAAGACUGGGAUAACUUCGGGAAACCGGAGCUAAUACCGGAUAAUAUAUUGAACCGCAUGGUUCAAUAGUUAAAGACGGUUUUGCUGUCGCUUAUAGAUGGAUCCGCGCCGCAUUAGCUAGUUGGUAAGGUAACGGCUUACCAAGGCAACGAUGCGUAGCCGACCUGAGAGGGUGAUCGGCCACACGGGAACUGAGACACGGUCCAGACGCCUACGGGAGGCAGCAGUAGGGAAUCUUCCGCAAUGGGCGAAAGCCUGACGGAGCAACGCCGCGUGAGUGAUGAAGGUCUUCGGAUCGUAAAACUCUGUUAUUAGGGAAGAACAAAUGUGUAAGUAACUAUGCACGUCUUGACGGUAACUAAUCAGAAAGCCACGGCUAACUACGUG
rnacentral:rRNA from 1 species